UGGUUUGCCAGGCGUGCGACGCCAUCUGUUAUGAAUUAUUCAUGUGGGCUUAGGUUGGGACAAGGCAACAAGCUAACAUGGGUUGGCUGUGGUUUAGGGCAUUGCACAAACAUAACCGUGUUUGCAUUAAGGGGCUAGUGAACCAUGUUUGAUUGCGGAGAGGUCAAAUUCUGACGUUUCAUUCCGUAUGGAAAUUCAUGCAAAACAGCUCCUAACUGCCAACCGCUUUUCCCGGAAUGUCCCCGCCUCCUUUCCCUGAUUGGCUCCCUCCACUGCCCCAGCGCUCAUUCAAAAGAAAAUAAGGCUGCGUGGAUCCGGUUUUCCCCCUUUCUCUCCGAGACAGACAAGAACAGUAAAGGUCUGCCUGAUAUCCAAGGACGGAUGGAAGACGAAGAGGAAUCAGUGCCCACCAUCCGAGAUAAUCUGACAAACACGCUGAUAAUCUCUAUGUUGGUUUCUUAUCUCGGGCACUUUCAAUACGGCUACUCUUUCAUAUUGGUUAACAACCCGGCUGUGGUAAGUCUCGCCAA